UACGAAGGGGGCUAGCGUUGUUCGGAAUUACUGGGCGUAAAGCGCACGUAGGCGGGUCGUUAAGUCAGGGGUGAAAUCCCAGAGCUCAACUCUGGAACUGCCUUUGAUACUGGCGACCUAGAGUCCGGAAGAGGUUAGUGGAAUUCCCAGUGUAGAGGUGAAAUUCAUAGAUAUUGGGAAGAACACCAGUGGCGAAGGCGGCUAACUGGUCCGGUACUGACGCUGAGGUGCGAAAGCGUGGGGAGCAAACAGG
rnacentral:rRNA from 1 species